rnacentral:rRNA from 1 species
ACAGGUGCUGCAUGGCUGUCGUCAGCUCGUGUCGUGAGAUGUUGGGUUAAGUCCCGCAACGAGCGCAACCCUCGUCCUUAGUUGCCAUCAUUUAGUUGGGAACUCUAAGGAAACUGCCGGUGAUAAGCCGGAGGAAGGUGGGGAUGACGUCAAGUCCUCAUGGCCCUUACACGCUGGGCUACACACGUGCUACAAUGGCGGUGACAGUGGGCAGCGAAGGCGCAAGCCGGAGCGAAUCUCCAAAAGCCGUCUCAGUUCGGAUUGCACUCUGCAACUCGGGUGCAUGAAGUUGGAAUCGCUAGUAAUCGUGGAUCAGCAUGCCACGGUGAAUACGUUCCCGGGCCUUGUACACACCGCCCGUCACACCAUGGGAGUUGGCUUUACCCGAAG